AACGACCAGGCUGCCACAUCUGCUGACUCCUCACCUCGCUGACACAUCCAUCUCCUCAGGCUGAUCCACCCCUCAGCUCCUCCCCAGCACUGCAGUGAGGUGUUCCCACCAGGAGCAUUGUCACUUCCAGCUUUCCAGGCAGCCCUGGAAGGACAGCAAGGACCCCAACGUGGCAGUGCCUGUGUCCCCAAAACUGGCAGGAUUUAUCUCCUAGAAAGUGGAAAGUGGCUGGCAGGAGACCAGCUGGGAAAUGUCAUUCUCUCCUCCAGUAGAGUUUGAAAGCUCCUCCAUCUGGACAAUCAAAUUCCCAAUGUAAACACAGGGGAAGGAGGGACAAGAAGAAUGGGAUCCCCAGGGAGCCCCUUCACACCCCUCCUGUCCUGCCCGAGGUGACUUUCUCCCUCUUCCCUCAUUGUCCUGGCCUUUAGGAGCAGAGCCAGCCCCUCCACUGAAGGGGAACUGAG